rnacentral:misc_RNA from 1 species
GGAAGUAAAAGUUGUAACAAGGUUUCCGUAGGUGAACCUGCGGAAGGAUCAUUAUUGUAUAACCGAGGUGCGAGGGCUGUCGCUGACCCGAAAGGUCGUGCACGCCCGAGUGCCCUCACACACAUCCAUCUCACCCCUAUGUGCACCACCGCGUGGGUCCCCCUUUGGCUUGUUCGGAGGGGGGCUUACGUUUUCACCCAAACUUUGUAUGCAGUGUAGAAUGUAUUUUUUGUUUUUGCGAUCACGCAAUCAAUACAACUUUCAACAACGGAUCUCUUGGCUCUC